GUGUGCCACCCGCCCAUCAACUUGCUUCACUACUGCAAAGUCCUGCUUGACUACUGUAUUUAAAUUGUAAUUUAACUUAUCAUCAUGUUAUUACUCAAAUUACUGUAUGUCAUUUUGUCUCUAAUAAUUGUUUUGCUUUAUCAUGAAAAAUAGCACCCCCCCCCCUGCACCCCCUCUGGCCAUAAUCAUACACUCAGAGUAACAUCACACAAACAUCUUAUUCACCUGAGUACAUUACACCAACACAGCAGAUUUCAUAAAUAUUAGAUUACACUGAUAUCGAAGGAACUAGACUCAGUUCCGAAAUAUCGCUUACUCGAACCGUCCUGAC